rnacentral:rRNA from 1 species
GUGAGGAAUAUUGCGCAAUGGAGGCAACUCUGACGCAGCCAUGCCGCGUGCAGGAAGAAGGCGCUACGCGUUGUAAACUGCUUUUAACCGGGAAGAAACCCCAGGACGUGUCCUGGGUUGACGGUACCGGAGGAAUAAGCACCGGCUAACUUCGUGCCAGCAGCCGCGGUAAUACGAAGGGUGCAAGCGUUAUCCGGAUUCAUUGGGUUUAAAGGGUGCGUAGGCGGAGCGUUAAGUCAGUGGUGAAAUCCUGCAGCUUAACUGUAGACUUGCCAUUGAUACUGGCGCUCUUGAGUGCGCUUGAAGUGGGCGGAAUGUGCCGUGUAGCGGUGAAAUGCUUAGAUAUGGCACAGAACACCAAUUGCGAAGGCAGCUCACUAAGGCGAUACUGACGCUGAGGCACGAAAGCGUGGGGAUCGAACAGGAUUAGAAACCCAAGUAUCC